GGCUCAGGAUGAACGCUAGCGACAGGCCUAACACAUGCAAGUCGAGGGCAGCACAAGGAGCAAUCUGAGGUGGCGACCGGCGCACGGGUGAGUAACACGUAUGCAACCUGCCUGUAAGCGGGGAAUAACCCGUUGAAAGACGGACUAAUACCGCAUAAUACUAAAUUACUGCAUGGUAAUUUAUUUAAACAUUUAUGGCUUACAGAUGGGCAUGCGCAUGAUUAGCUAGUUGGAGAGGUAACGGCUCCCCAAGGCAACGAUCAUUAGGGGUUCUGAGAGGAAGGUCCCCCCACACUGGUACUGAGACACGGACCAGACUCCUACGGGAGGCAGCAGUGAGGAAUAUUGGUCAAUGGACGAGAGUCUGAACCAGCCAAGUCGCGUGCAGGAAGAAUUGUCCUAUGGAUUGUAAACUGCUUUUGCAGGGGAAUAAAGUGCAUCACGUGUGAUGUUUUGUAUGUACUCUGCGAAUAAGGAUCGGCUAACUCCGUGCCAGCCGCGGC
rnacentral:rRNA from 1 species